GCGUUCGCGAUAAUAUUCUUAAGGAGUAUGUCUACCUAUAAAUAAGUAAAUUACAAACUUAAAUUUAAAUUGACUUAUAGAUGUUAAGGUAACUAAGUGUCAGAAUCAUUAAAAAUAGGUAUAGGUAUCUUUACAUAUAAAAUAUAUUAAAAAUAAAAUAAAAUCUUAGUGGUGUAUAAGGUCUCUAAGUGUCCAAAACUAGAAUUAAGUAAAACAAUACAAUCAAGCGAGAACAUGAUGGUCUCUUGUGUCAGUUCUACUGGACACUAGUAUGGUUAAAUCACAAAAUAAAAAUACGAAAACUCUAUUGCUUAAAUUUUUAUUAUACUAUCAAGAUCAAGCUAAUGUCUUAAAGGAAUCUUUAUCAUCUAUAAAAUAAUUUGUAUAACACACGUAGCUUAACGUUCAAUGGAUGGUUGACGAAGAAAUAUUAUGUUCUUGCUUUGCGAAUAUGUUUUAUUUUGGUUUUCGUCUGCACCUACACGGAAUCUUCAGGUAUCCUUAUUAAUCCUUUUAAUUAUGAAAUGAUUCCAUCUCGUCGCGGCGGCCAGCUCCUAAUGUACAACAACCAGACGUAUAUUUCUAAAACGCAUAUGUACUAUUGCUCGAAAUCUGGUCUACCGACUUCGUGUAGAUCUGUGAUUAGACUAAAUGAGAAAACUGGUGCAAUAUGUAUACUUAGGGAGUUGUAUAACCACCUCUCUCCUAGAUAUGUCAGUGCUGAUGGACAAUACAUUAGGUAUUAACCAUUAACCUCUUGGGCGCCAAAGAAGGCAACGGACGACUACGGUUACAGACCUACAGUUUAAUAUUAACUUUCGUGUAGUCCUUAUUAUAACAUUUACGAUUUAUACAAACCCCAAAUGCCAAUGUCAACGCUGCAAAUCAUUGAGCAUAAGGGUUGGUAAAACUGUCUACCGUGGGGAACGCUAACUACACCGUUGGUGCCCAACUUCGCCCAAGUAAAAUAUUAAAAUAAUUAUUUUACCAAGUAGAUAUCCAUUGAGUUAUGAAAAAACAGAGUGUCGGAAGAAUAGUUUUUAAAUAUAAAAAUAAUGUAUCUAAAUACUUAUCCUUAUCUUCGCAAGCCGUUCCAAAUCCUAAAUAUUCAAUUAGUACUCGUAUAGUAGUAUGGUACAAAAUGUAUAGUGGAAAAAUGAUUUAAUGCUGGUUAAGGUGAAGUUAUAUACCUUCUAAAUGCGAAGUAAGGGCACGUAUUUUUGCCAACCCUUCAAUGAACUGAACGAAAAUAUUCGAGUUAAUUUUGGAUCAUAAUUGGGAGCUUUUGGACUAUAAUUAGGUGGUUUGCGGUUAUAAUUUAAGAUCAUUCUGUAUUCUGUACUGUCUUACUGUCGUAAGGUAUAUUAGUUUAAUAUAAGUAGUAUUUGGCUAUUUCGAGACCUUCAUAUUUGUGUUAUUUAGCAUUAUAUAUGUGGAAGCUUGUAAUUUAGUAGAUAAGUCUAUUAACCUAUGUAUUUCAGGCAGUAAGCAUCCCGAAUAAAUUAAAAUAAAUAAAAUAAGUAUAGUUGAUUAGUUUUCUGUGAAGACAUAAAGUUUGAUUAAAUUCUGUUUUUUAGACUUUCUUUAUGGAUCUUUAAUUUAUAGUUUGAUUGUAUUAUAGUUUAUGAGAAAACUGCUAAGUAUCUCAUAAAGAGAUCAAUAUGUCUGUAUUCGUUUAUUCAAGAUUUGGUUUCAAUUCGAAGUAUAUAUAUCAUGAUUUGAUUAGAUUAUUAAAAUGCCUGAUUGUGAAGAUGUACUACAAUCUUAAAGAAUUUUUUGACGAUGCACGUCGCAACAAAAUGAAAAUAAUUUAGUUAAUGUAGUGUAUUAUUCGUUUUUAAGUAAUGUUAAACACUAUAUUGUGUGUUCGCAAAGGGCAGCUGUUGAUACCAUUUUUUGUACAGAUCAUCUAUAUGUAUAUGUACACAGUGAACAAUAAAAACUUUCUUAUUCGACAAUGCUAACUUUACAAAUAUUUAAUACCUUCUUCUUGACCAUAUUCUGAUUGUAACAACAUGUGAUAAGUUUGGUCUGUAUUUUUAAUGGAUAUGAUCUGUCAGUGUCAACAGUUCAGAAUAUGCCCCCAGAACUCGUAAGAUAUUAUAACUGUCUGUCACUUUGUUGUAAGUAAAAUAAAGAAGAAUAAAUAAAAUGUACUCCGGAUGAUUUCAAUAUCUAGUGCCCCGAUCACCCACUCUCCCCAUAUUUUCUGUAGAUUUUCGUCGACCUACACUUGUAUAAUUGUAUCAAUUUUUUAGGUGUUGAUAUCAAGCCUUACAAUUACAAGAUGAUACCAUCCCGUCGCGGCGGCCAGCUCCUCUUGUACGACAACCACACGUUUAAGUAUAUAUCUAAUAAACAAAUGUACUAUUGCUCGAAAUCUGGUAAACCGACUUCGUGCAGAUCUGUGAUUAAGCUAGAGGAAGUUACUGGUGCUAUUUGUAUGCUUAGGGGGGUGCAUAACCACCCCCCUCCUAGAUAUGUGAGUGCUGAUGGACAAUUCGUUAGGUAUUGAUCUCUUGUCCGCCAAAGACUGCUACAAACGCGCACGGUUAUAGUUUAAUAUUAAGCUUUAGGUUCGCCUUUGUACUACUAGUUAAUGAUGUAUGUUUUUUUAACCGACUUCAAGAUUUCAAAAGGAGGAGGUUAUCAAUUCGGUUGUGUUUUUUUUAUGUUUGUUACUCCAUAACUCCGUCAUUUCUGAACCGAUUUUGAAAAUUAUUUUUUCCUGUUUAAUUUUCUUGUUUGUGUUAUAAAGUGUUUUACUACUACAAGUACCCACAAUAAGGUUUAAUACGGCGCGUUAUAUAUAAAUCCCGUUAUCAAUGCUGCAAUUCAUUGAAAAUUUGAGUUGGUAAAACUGACUACCCUACUUCACCGUUGGUGCCCAACUUCGCCCAAGUAAAAUAUUAAAAUAGUAAUUUUUCCUAUGAAUAGAUAUCCAUUGAGUUAACAAUAAACAGAGCGGCGUAAAAAUGGUUUUUAAGUAUAAAUAUAAUAUAUCCAAACUACCUCCACUUCGCCACCCGUUUCAACUUCGGCUAAUCAUUUUUUCCAAAUACUAAAACUUGCUGCAAAUCCUAAAUGUUCAAAUACUAAACGCCCAUGAUACAAAAUGAGUAAUGCAGAAAAUAAAUAAGAUUUAAUGCUAGUUAAGGUGGCUAGAUGUAUGGAGGUGGUAUUAUAUACCUACUAAAAGCGAAUUAAUGAACUGAAAGAAAAUAUUCAAGUAAAUUUCGGCCCAUUAAUGGAAUUGUGGACUAGAGUUACGGUUAUAAUUAAGGUGAUUCUGUAUUGUGUACUGUCUUACGAUUUCUGUAUGCUGUAUGUCGUAGGGUUAGCAUUAAUUUAAUAUAAGUAAAGUUGAAUGGCCUGUGAAGAAGUUUGAUUAAAUGUUGCAUUUCACUUUUUAUUUUAUUUAUCUUUACAUUAUAAAUAGCUUAAGAUUGCACCGACCGUCCAGUGGCGCCCUCAUUAAGGGGAUUGUGUUUUUUAAUAAACCAAUUCAUAACUGUAUAAUUCAGAACGAGUAAGUAUAUUAAUGUUCUAGUCCGACUGAUUCCUCUACUUUUAGUCUUUGUCACAUAAUUUUAAAUAAAUAAAUAUUAUAGGACAUUAUUACACAAAUUGACUAAGUUCCACGAUUAGCUCAAUAAGGCUUGUGUUGUGGGUACUUAGACAUCGAUAUAUAUAUAAUAAAUAUAUACUUAUAAAUACUUAAAUACAUAGAAUAAAUAUCCAUGCUAAUCACACGAAUAAAUGCCAUUACCAGGAUUUGAACCCGGGACUAUCGGCUUCAUAGGCAAGCUUACUACCCACUAGGCCAAACAGGUCGUCUAAUUUCAUUUUGCUUAUUUUUUGCUUCAUCACCCAAACGGCAAAUGGUGGCCACUUUUUCCCGUUUAGGUGAUGAACUGAUGAAGUCAAAAGAAGAAAGUAAUAUAAAACUAUAUCUCAUAGUCCAAAGGUUGGGUUGGGGAAUCCGGAGGACUACAAAAUUAUUAUGCGCCACUGGACGAAUUUAUGAAAAAACUGCCAAGUAACUCAUAAAUAAAUCGUCAAAACUGAAUUUUUAUACACACAGGCAUACGGCCCGCCUGAUGGUAAGCAGUCACCGUAGCUAUAGACGCCUGCAACGCCUGCGCCUGAACCAGAUAUAUUAUAUGCGCGUAGCCCACCCUUAAAAAACCUGUACACUCCUUUUUUAAAGAACCCCAUGCCCCUCGGGAAAACCUCCAUUCCACAGCCGAAGCGUCCGCGGGAGGAAAUUCCUCUUAAACGCACAGUACGCGACGUUCGAUCAUACAUUUUGCAAGGUCCCGUUCGGGAUUCAGGAUCUGGUUUCAAAUCAUGAUUUCAUUAUAAUGCAAACUUUACGAAUAAUACCAUCUUCUGGCAUAUUCUGAUUGUAAUAAAAGGUGAUUAAUUUGAUCUGAAUUUGCUAGGCUAUGACCUGUCUGUGUCAAAAGUUUAGAAUAUGCCUCCAUAACUCGUUCUACAGCUUUAGUUUGAUUUUUUUUAUACCACGCCGGUGGCACACAAGCAUACGGCCCGCCGAUGUUAAGCAGUCACCGUAGCCUAUGGAUGCCUGUAACUCCAGAGGUAUUACAAUAUCACUUAAAACUAUGAAAACACUUAUAUUAAGUGAGCUCAAUCUGACGCCAUGUAUAAAGAAGCACGACGUUGACAGUUCAUGGUUCACUGUUAACAUAUAACAAAUGUGUGUGUGAUGAUAAGAAAUGAAAAUGCAUGAAAAUGUUUGUAUUUCAGAAUACCCCUACGAAAUCAUCCAAUCGCGGCGCGGCAGGCCUCUUCUACUGUCCAACGGCUACACCUACUAUAAAAAUAGUGCUAACUCCUACUAUUGCACCAAGUUUAGCAAAUGCAAGGCGAGCGUGUAUCUCGAAUGCCUUCCUUACAAAAUGAUUGCUACAGGACGAGGCGCCACCCUGCUCAUGCUGCACGGCCACACAUACUCUUACAAGGAAAAAAAUAAGCGCUAUCACUGCUCCAAGCUGUCCAGUUUGAAGUGCAAGUGCUUCGUGAAGCUGGAUGAGAUAGGGAGGAUUGUGUUGCUGCAUGAAGACCACAACCAUGAACCGCCUAGGUACAUGGUGACCAAGUCGGGCCUGUAUAUGAAAAUGAGCUGAUAACCAAUUUUUGAUCUACAUCAGAAUUCAGAAAGAUGAUCUCCUUUUAAACUUAAUGUUUGAGGAACGAUAGUCAUUAAUAAAGUCGUAUUUGUUCUUUAGAAUCACACAAAUCGAAAUAUUCCAUAAUUCUAUGCAGGGAUGUACCUAAGUUUAAUAAAACUAUUUGGUUUUGUGUGGAUGUGAAA